CAUGUGGGGGCACGCGCAAUCACCUGGCGGCACGGGCAGGCCCUCGGGACAACGCACAAGCACAUAUAAUGUAAAUAAAUAUUGUAAAACAAUGCAAAGUCAGCUGAGGGAUUAAUUACGUGCUACCAUUAAGGUUAUCGCAAUUGUACCUCCUCAUAUGUUUAAGAUUUGCACCACCCAGGCAGGCAAAGUUAUAAAAAUCAAACACACACCCCUAGCAUUCACUAAUGUACAAGUCUAGCUUCGGGAAAAUGCUUCAUUCAGACUGCCAGGGACAGACGAAGGCAAAAGCGAGACUCGGAAUACAACGUUUAAAACCGAAGAACCUGGGUUCUUCCGUGUUUGUUCUGCGUCCUUGAGCGAAUGGUAAUGAGCUAAAACAACAAAGAGGACGCCGUAGCUGCACAGCGGCUCUUCCUUCAACACUGUGGCGCCACGAUGGACUUUUCCACAUUUGAGAAUUAAAAAGCCAAGAAAUUUGACCAAGACUGAUCGUGCAUAACUUUGCACAGUGCAAUGCCACCACAGUGUUGUUCAAAUGGGUUUGAGGACAACUGCUUGCAUUCCCAGAGCACAGUAGAUGAAACCCGCCUCAGAAUUCCUAGUUGCCACAUCCGUUGAAAACACUAGCAGAUAAGGCGAACGUGACACUGCAGGGGUCAACCCAGCCAGCACAGCCCACCAUACAUUCUCAGUGGAGCUGAUGAGCCCUGAAAACCCAUCAGGGUACCUCCCUGUGUGGAGAGGAGACCACCUGUGGUGUUCUACAGAUGUGCUUUGGAGCUCUCCAGUCAUGCAGACGAGUCGCCACAGCUUCAUUCCAGCCAGGUACCCAGCACGAGGAUGACCCAUCAGUCUGCUGCAUGUUACAUGAGCCAAUCUGCUGGGAUGAUAAAUGAUAACCAGGAGCUUGGUGCUGCUGGCCCUGUCAGAGGAGAUUUCAGAUGGGAGCGAUGAUGAGGUUGCCACACCGAAGCACAGUGCGGACUCACAGCAGGUACAGAGCAGAGGAUGCAGUGCCACCAAUUAAUGUUUGUCUUAGUUCACCAGAGCACACUACACAACAUGUCGGCAAUUGCUGCCCCAACAAAUAACAACUGAGCAAAUGUGCAGCACUCUUGGGAGCAGGUGGGAAGGUGCAAAGUGUAAGGGAAUAUGAAACAACCAACAGCAACAAUUAGUCAGGUGUUGCUUCAGGAAUCACCUGGGGAAAAGAAUUUUGAACAAAAAACAAAACAACAAAGAUUUUUACUCUUUUUUUUCCCCUCAAAACUGGUUUUAAAUAGAGAAGUGUACAUUCAUGUGAUGACCCAUCAAAGUGUGAAAUAUUUAUCCAGAUGAGAUGUGUUCCCCUAAAAUAAAGAAAUGUAAUUUAAAAAGCACCUCAAUGGUAGGAUUAACAGUGUUCUGAAAUCUUACAGCGGAGCAAUUUCACUCGUCCUUUCUGUCAGGCUGCUCGACGUUCCUCCUGCCAUGUCUGCAUCACUACAGCAGGUCUUUGUAAAUAGCUGCCAUCUGGAAAUCACUAACAGCAGAGGGUGCCAAAGCUUUUCAGUUUUAUAUGUCCAAGGCACACUGAGUCUCAUUGCCUUCAAACCUCCCAAUUUAGGCACAAGAUUGUGGGGCUUUUCCCCCACAGUUUAAAGCAGUAUGAUUUGAUCAUUUGAACCAAUUGAACUCACUUAAUGGGGUUGACUUAAUGUACAGGCAAAAACCAAACAGGGCCACCUUAUCACAUCACUAUCAAAUGAACUGUCAACACAACAUUACAUAAUCUCUGUGAGCUGCUUUCUAUCUGAAUGUUACACUAGUUUAACUCCUGGGUGUUUUAAAGCUGACUUACCAGUCCUCUGUCUGUUUCAUGGGAUAUUUUUUGUUCCUCAGGAGCUGAGAUCUCCAACAUGGGCCAAGUGGAAACAUAAUAUACUGUAGAUAAUCAGAUUUACUGCAUUGCUGUCUUUCUUAUAUUGUCUUUCUUUCCUUUCCUUCCUUGAUAUUACUGCUAAUUUCACAGCAGCAUUUUAAUGAGAAAAGCCCAGCGCUGCACAAAAAGAGGCACCUGUUAUUCAGCCAUUAUCACACAACAUCUUUAUGGUCAUUAGAGCUCACUCAUGAAGCAACAGUUACCGUGCUAACACAACCAUGUCAAGCACUGCAAAGCUAUCCCAUUAAGCAAACUUUUGUUCUUCAGAUUGAGCUGUAGUGAAGAACCCUCUUCCAUGACACUGCAGUGAGUUGAGAUGAGUUACUGCUGUUCACAAUAUCCAUUCUGUGUGCACCUGACCCGGGAUUGAAUAUCCCUCUCACCAUCUGUUAUGAGAGAGGGAGAGAGAAACAGACAGAGCAGGAGAA